AGGUGGGAAGGACACACAGACACACAGGGCGUGGAGGAAACAUCUAGGGCCUAGUGGGGAGUCUUCCUUCACGCCAAGGCAAGCGCCACCGUCUCCUCUCCACACUGCCCGCGCCGGACGCACUGAGAUGGUCCUCCUCCACGGACUACAGCCUAGCGCCUCAGCAGGCCUCCCCAAGGCACAGCCAUCCCCUUCCACCACCAACAGCACCUGAAUUUCUGAACCACUUUCGUCUUCUUUAAGAGCAAGUUUGGAGCUACAGAGAGCUGGCCAGGAAGGCUGAGCUCCAGAGCACAAGGAAUGGCUUUCUGGAGACCAGGAAGUACUUCAAACCCUCUGUGUCAAGAAGUAGAAGAACAACCUCCCCCCUCCCAACCCCACGCAGCCCCUCUCACCAAGGUCCCCAUCUCGAGGAGGGACCACCAUCCACCAAGCCAGGAACCUGGGAUAAGCCAUGACUCUUCCUUCGGCCUGGGUUAGGGAUGGGACAAGGGAGUCUGUUGCAUACAUUAAGUGUCUUAAGUGACUUGUUUUUUUUUUAAGCUAAAAGUUUAACGUUUUUAGGGUCAUAUGUCCAGAGGCAUCAAAAUGACUUCAAAAAUCCUCCCUCUCUUCCACAUCCCACACCCUGCCCACGCUCCCUCCUAAAUGACCCUGAGUCCACCUACUUUGCUCCGUUCUCUCCAGCAGAUGAGCAUCAGCUCUCAGCAAGAUGACCAAGCUGCCUCCUUACUGUUUUCCCAGGCUCCAGGGUUAACCCUCUCCACUGUCAUGGCACUGGGGAGGCCUGGGGAGCACAGAGGACACGCCCACCCACACAGUUUCCCGGAGAGCAUUUGGAAACAGCUAGAAAGGUGAUGGAACUGUCAAGUUCAUGAAAUCAACUACUUAAAUUGUGACCACAACACAGCUUUGUUUAUUUUGUGAUAGGGUAAAAACUUGCAAACUUUUCAAUAGGAUAUUAAAAAAAAGCAAAACUAUAGGUAGAACACUCUCUUGAAGGGAAAAGACCGCUUCCGUCACAAUCAGCCUGUGGCCUGACGCCCCACCAACAGUUUAGUUGGCUGGGCUCCAAUCUGUUCUUCAGCAAGGAGACCUUUGACUAUGAGUGGUUCACCAAGUUGGCGCUCUGUGAAUUCUGGCGGAAUGAGUGAGAGACAAACAGAAGUAUGAAAAUGUGGACAGAUUAGAAUCUCUCUCUCCAGAGGCAUUUUUUGUCCCAGGACAACUCUAUCAACCGUAGAAUGUUGACUCAACCCCACGUUGAUGGAGAAUGGCAUGCUCCAUGGUUAAUCUCAACCUCCAGCAUCUUUGCAGUGAGGUGAAGCCAUGUAACUGGUUAUCGGUAAUGGAGUGUAAGUGGAAGUGAUGUGUUACUUCCAGGCUGAGGAAUUUAAGAGUGGUUGUGCAUUCUCCACAUGCUUGCUCUUCCCCCUGAAGCCACAUAUUUAAGAUGGAGGAUCCCCAGCAUGAACAGAUCUGGAUUCCUGAGUUACCUGACCACAGAUAUCCACGUUGGACUAUGUGAUACACAAAUCUUUAUCACAUUAAGACACUGAGAUCUGGAGGUUGUCUGUUGCAACCGUUAUACCUACCCUAACAAUACAGCAUCGAGGUAAUGAGGCCAAAAUCACAAGAAACAAGGCUUGAGGCACUGUAGAAUUUGGACUGUGAUGCAUAGAGGGCAAAGGGGAGCACUUAAGAGUCAGAAAUUCUUGAUUUGAAUCUCAUACUAGCUGUGUGACUUUGAUCAAGUUAUUUAAUAUUUCUAAGCAUUGCUUUCUUCAAUGAUAAAAAUUACAUAGUAAUAACAUGACCCACUUUAUAGUAUUGGUUGUGAGGAUCAAAUGAAUCUAAGAAUGUAAAAGGCCUUUGAAACCAAAAAACUACAAAUGUCACUGGCUAUUAUUCUAACAGUUGACACAUAUGUUUAUUAAAAAUCUGUCAAGAGGCCAGGCCAGUGGCCGAGUGGUUAAGUCCGUGAGCUCUGCUUC
ensembl:lncRNA